rnacentral:tRNA from 1 species
UCCCCCUUUUCUGGUUUACAACACCAGGGUAAUGUG